rnacentral:rRNA from 1 species
UAUGGUGACUGCGGAGGAUCAUUAUUGAGUUUAAUAGUAGUCUUGAUGCUGGCAAGUCUUUUCUGGACUUGCAUGUGCUCAGUCUGCGCUCAUUCCCACUCACACCUGUGCACCUAUUAAAAAAGAGGAACGAGGGAGGACUUGGAUCUUAUUAGAUAGAUUUGUAAAAGAAUCUUCGAACAGUUCAAUAAAUCUCUUCUCUUUUUAUAAUAUAUAAACACUAUUGUUUGUGUAGAAUGUACUUGCCUCUUUGUAGGUGAUUAAAAAUAUAUACAACUUUCAACAACGGAUCUCUUGGCUCUCGCAUCGAUGAAGAACGCAGCGAAAUGCGAUAAGUAAUGUGAAUUGCAGAAUUCAGUGAAUCAUCGAAUCUUUGAACGCACCUUGCACUCCUUGGUAUUCCGAGGAGUAUGCCUGUUUGAGUGUCAUGUUAAUCUCAAUUAAACAUGUAUAAUUUUUUUUGUAUGUGUUGAAUUGGACUUGGAGUCUGCUGGCGAGAGUCGGCUUCUCUUGAAUACAUUAGCUGGGCUUUUGCUCGAGUAAUUGGUGUAAUAGUUCAUUACAAUUCACCGUUUGCACUUGCUUAGAGAGUCUGCUCCUAAUCGUCUUGUAACAAAGACAAUGAAAAGUUAGUGUCCGUUGUACACUUUUUCUUUUUGACCUUUGACCUCAAAUCAGGUAGGACUACCCGCUGAACUUAAGCUAUCAAAAGGCC